UACGGAGGGUGCGAGCGUUAUCCGGAUUCACUGGGUUUAAAGGGCGCGUAGGUGGGAAUGUAAGUCAGUGGUGAAAUCUCUGAGCUUAACUCAGAAACUGCCAUUGAUACUAUGUUUCUUGAAUUUUCUGGAGGUCAGCGGAAUAUGUCAUGUAGCGGUGAAAUGCUUAGAUAUGACAUAGAACACCAAUUGCGAAGGCAGCUGGCUACAGGGAUAUUGACACUGAGGCACGAAAGCGUGGGGAUCAAACAGG
rnacentral:rRNA from 1 species